rnacentral:rRNA from 1 species
AACGAACGCUGGCGGCAGGCUUAACACAUGCAAGUCGAGCGCCCCGCAAGGGGAGCGGCAGACGGGUGAGUAGCGCGUGGGAAUCUACCCAUCUCUACGGAAUAACGCAUGGAAACGUGUGCUAAUACCGUAUACGUCCUUCGGGAGAAAGAUUUAUCGGAGAUGGAUGAGCCCGCGUUGGAUUAGCUAGUUGGUGGGGUAAAGGCCUACCAAGGCGACGAUCAAUAGCUGGUCUGAGAGGAUGAUCAGCCACACUGGGACUGAGACACGGCCCAGACUCCUACGGGAGGCAGCAGUGGGGAAUAUUGGACAAUGGGCGCAAGCCUGAUCCAGCCAUGCCGCGUGAGUGAUGAAGGCCCUAGGGUUGUAAAGCUCUUUCACCGGUGAAGAUAAUGACGGUAACCGGAGAAGAAGCCCCGGCUAACUUCGUGCCAGCCGCCGCAGUAAUAC